GAGACGCAUGAGCUCGUUGGCGAAACAGACGGUGAGCGCCUCCUCCUCGGGGACUCGCGGCGCCCAGCCCUCGGCGGGGACAAGUUCAACUUGAGAUCAAGCUUCGCUCCGUUCCUUCGGCUCAUCGUUUCAAGGGAAAAUGCAUGUACUGUGGUAGCUGGAUAUACUUUUCCUACGUGUUAUUUCCGGGCUAUUAUCUACGUGGCGAUGGACGUUUGAGGUGUAAUUUAAACCUGAUAAAAAAAUGCUUACUUGGCAAACCUAAUUGGCCAACAUAGAAAUACCAGUAUAACAGACUUAUUGUACGUACUAAAAAAAUACUGAAAUAUCAAAAUUUUAGUAUACCAUGUUUUUGUUAUGGUAUGAAAUAUUAUUGAAAGAUAAGGUGUGUUUUUGUGUUGGUUGAUUAGUUUGUCAAGUAAGCUUUUUUUUUGGUUCAAUUACACCGCUAGCAUCCAUUGCCACGUGGAUAAUUAAUACUCCGUAUUCAAUUUCAAUUGUCAGAAAAUAUUUGAUUAGUUAUUUAAGUUGUAUAUUUUCUCUUA